rnacentral:rRNA from 1 species
GGAUCUCUUGGUUCUGGCAUCGAUGAAGAACGCAGCGAAAUGCGAUAAGUAGUGUGAAUUGCAGAAUUCAGUGAAUCAUCGAAUCUUUGAACGCACAUUGCGCCCUUUGGUAUUCCGAAGGGCAUGCCUGUUCGAGCGUCAUUUGUACCCUCAAGCUAUGCUUGGUGUUGGGUGUUUGUCCUAUCCAUUGCGACUGGACUCGCCUUAAAGAUAUUGGCAGCCGGCAUUUUGGCCUUGGAGCGCAGCACAAUUUGCGAGUCCAAGCCGGAAUACUGACGUCCAGAUAAGCUUUUUACCACGUCUGACCUCGGAUCAGGUAGGGAUACCCGCUGAACUUAAGCAUAUCAAUAAGCGGAGGA